rnacentral:rRNA from 1 species
UACGAAGGGGGCUAGCGUUGCUCGGAAUGACUGGGCGUAAAGGGCGCGUAGGCGGAGUGCUUUGUCGGGCGUGAAAUUCCAGGGCUCAACCUUGGGGGCUGCGUUCGAGACGGGUGCUCUUGAGUUUGGAAGAGGGUCGUGGAAUUCCCAGUGUAGGAGGUGAAAUUCGUAGAUAUUGGGAAGAACACCGGUGGCGAAGGCGGCGACCUGGUCCAAGACUGACGCUGAGGCGCGAAAGCGUGGGGAGCAAACAGG